UCUCUCUCAGGAUCGCACCUGGAGAGUUUCCAGUACUCUACCAGUCUUGGCUACAGGAGGGAGAGUCAGGCCGUACCCAUUCCAUUCCUAGCUUGGGCAGUGGCUAGCGAGUGGAAGGCCAUCUGCUACAAGU